rnacentral:rRNA from 1 species
GAUGAACGCUGGCGGCGUGCCUAAUACAUGCAAGUCGAGCGAACAGACGAGGAGCUUGCUCCUCUGACGUUAGCGGCGGACGGGUGAGUAACACGUGAAUAACCUACCUAUAAGACUGGGAUAACUUCGGGAAACCGGAGCUAAUACCGGAUAAUAUAUUGAACCGCAUGGUUCAAUAGUGAAAGACGGUUUUGCUGUCACUUAUAGAUGGAUCCGCGCCGCAUUAGCUAGUUGGUAAGGUAACGGCUUACCAAGGCAACGAUGCGUAGCCGACCUGAGAGGGUGAUCGGCCACACUGGAACUGAGACACGGUCCAGACUCCUACGGGAGGCAGCAGUAGGGAAUCUUCCGCAAAGGGCGAAAGCCUGACGGAGCAACGCCGCGUGAGUGAUGAAGGUCUUCGGAUCGUAAAACUCUGUUAUUAGGGAAGAACAAAUGUGUAAGUAACUAUGCACGUCUUGACGGUACCUAAUCAGAAAGCCACGGCUAACUACGUG